AACGGCCAUACCAUGCUGAAUAUAUCGGUUCUCGUUAGAUCACCGAAGUCAAGCAUCAUUGGGCGCGGUCAAUACUUGGGUGGGUGACCACCUCGGAACACCGCGUGCUGCUGG
rnacentral:rRNA from 1 species